rnacentral:rRNA from 1 species
AACUAGGAUUAGAUACCCUAUUAUUUUGAACUAGAUUGAUAUUACCAGGUUAGUAGUAGUUAUGUGCUUGAAAAUUAAAGAAGAUGGCGGUAUUUUAGUCUAUUCAGAGGAACCUGUCCUAUAAUCGAUGAUCCACGAUUUAUUAUACUUAUUUUAUAAGUUUGCAUAUCGCCGUAGAUUGAAUGUCCUUGAAGGGAUUUAAACAUUCAAGAGGUUUUUAUUUGUGAAAUUAAAUCAGGUCAAGAUGUAGCUAAUAAAUAAGAAGAGAUGGGUUACAAUAAAUUUAUUUAUAACGGAUUAAUAUAUGAAAUUUAUUAUAAAGGUGGAUUUGAGGGUAAUUUUAUAUAAAUUUAUAAAAUGAUUUUAGCUCUAAAAUAUGUACACAUCGCCCGNUCGCUCUUAAAA